CGAAUUGCAGCUGAUUUGGAGCAAGACUUAAGGGUCUAAGUGGCAGCUCUCUGGUCUUUGAAACUUGUUGACCAACUUUUGGUACAAAAUCACAGCAGAGAUACUCACUCACCCCCAAGAAACCUGACUAUAAAAUAUCUCCGACUCAAGAGUCAGCAAGAAACUCUCCUCCAUCAACGAGAGCCAGCAAUGCGAAGACAGAGGUCUCCCAACAACUGAAGAAUACCAACAGAAAUACAACGCUGCUGAAACUUGGAAAUAAGUUUGUUUUUUUAAGAUUCAUAAAUAAUUCCAUGACAAAACUUGCCACAUUUCCAGUGCCAUGUAAUUCAUGUAAGGGUCUCGGCCUGAAACGUCGACUGCGCCUCUUCCUAUAGAUGCUGCCUGACCUGCUGCAUUCACCAGCAACUUUGAUGUGUGUUGCUUGAAUUUCCAGCAUCUGCAGAAUUCCUGUUGUUUGAAUUCAUGUAAAUUGUUCAUUUUUCAAACAUUAUUUGCAAGUUGAAGAUUAAAUUCACUGUAAGCUUUGAAAUGGAAUUUCUGACGCUACAGAAGGCAAG